UAAGCGAAUGAUUCAAUAGGAGGAGGAUUGGAUUGGGGAUUGAGGACGCGCGAGGGUUUAAAGGAAUCGGAGUGAAGGGACCAUUCGUCGUCUGAGACUUCUAUAAAUUCUCGUUCUCGCUUCAUUUAUACUCCAAUUUGGGAAUUAUGAAACCCUAAAUUUGAUACAGAGUGCACUCGCGAAGAUAGAGGGAAAGGGAGGGAAAAUAUGUCCUCCUCUUCUCUUCGUCUCGAUCCUCGAAUGAAUGGGAUUUUUCACUUUCGAAUCCAAUUCCCCACUGGCCAAACAAGGCCAUAUAUACUAAAAACGGACUGCAAGAAGAUGGGAGGACAUACUUGGAAAUGGUCGGCUGAUCCG
rnacentral:lncRNA from 1 species